rnacentral:rRNA from 1 species
UGGGGAAUCUUCCGCAAUGGACGAAAGUCUGACGGAGCAACGCCGCGUGUAUGACGAAGGGCCUUCGGGUUGUAAAGUACUGUCUUUGGGGGACGAACGGUAUCUAUGUAAAUAAUGUAGAUACAUGACGGUACCCCAAGGAGGAAGCCCCGGCUAACUACGUGCCAGCAGCCGCGGUAAUACGUAGGGGGCGAGCGUUGUCCGGAAUCAUUGGGCGUAAAGGGCGCGUAGGCGGGUCAUUAAGUCUGGUGUGAAAGGGCAGGGGCUCAACCCCUGGAAGGCACCGGAACUGUUAUCUUGAGGACAGGAGAGGAAAGCGGAAUUCCACGUGUAGCGGUGAAAUGCGUAGAUAUGUGGAGGAACACCAGUGGCGAAGGCGGCUUUCUGGACUGUAACUGACGCUGAGGCGCGAAAGCGUGGGGGAGCAAACAGGAUUAGAUACCCUGGUAGUCCACGCCGUAAACGAUGAGUGCUAGGUGUAGAGGGUAUCGACCCCCUUCUGUGCCGCAGUUAACACAAUAAGCACUCCGCCU